ACAACAUCUUAAUUGACAAUGCCUCAUAGUUCUGUAUACCUAUAUAUAAGGGCGAUCUUGUCAAUUCCUAGUAUACAGUCAGGAAUUAUCCAACAAUCAGGAUUCAGACACCAUGAAAUCGUUACAAGUUUUGGUUUGUCUGGUCGUGGUAUUCCUCUUUGUCUCAACGAUACAAUCAUUUGUCCUCCCACACUACGCCAGAAACGACCCUUACCUUAAGCGACUCCUAACUCCUAAAAAGGGGUCAAAAAGUCCCAACCAGUUUCAGCUGUACAUGGCAAGAGAGUACCUAGACGAACUGGAGCCUUACGACAACGACCCUCAUGACAUGAUAGAAAGUCGACUGGAACCAGACUUUUUCUAAAACUACACCAUGUAAGAACGCCUUAAUUACUUGAUUAAUGAUCAAACGAAAGAAUCCAACACACAUCAUUACGUCACUAUUGUGUCCUACAUGUUUGUUAAAAUGUUAAAAUAAAAUGUAUGAAAAGUCA